AGAAGUGCAAAAUGUCUGGAAGAAAUAAAGUGCAAUUUCUGGAAGAAGCAGAGCUGUACACAUCAUGUAGACAUAGCUGCACGUGGAACUGUAUCCUUUUAAAGUCAUGCUGAGUGUGAGGAGGUGCAGCUGAUAAAAUCCCUGGUGGAGAGGGAACAUGAGUGCACAGCUGCACUGCUGAGGCUACAGCUGGGCCACGUGUGAGCUGCUCCUUUCAUCUCCUUGGGAGAACAAACUUUGGAGACAAUUUAACUCUUGAACUUCCUGGAUUAUCUGUUCUUCCUACCUAUCUGAUUUACCUCUGCCAUUAUGUCUCUCAUAAAAAACAAAACCAAGAGGUCCCCAGACCUGUGCAGGGCAGAGGGAGCUGCAACAUUUCCCCUUUGCUCUCUGUGCUCUUGAGUGUUGGUUGCCCCUGCAGGCCCUUCCAGGCUCUCCCGUUUGAUACAUCUGCAUCAUAAGGUACCUCUAUGCACACAAAAUAAUUAGUCUGGGAGAAGGUGUUGUUAUUUCCAUGAUAAACUUCUCAUGCUGGGCAAUGCCACAUCUUCAUGUGGGGCCAGACCAUGGGGCCGUGUCUUGGCCAGCUCGGGGAACGCAGCUCUGAGCAGGAGAACAUCCAGCCCUGCAGACAGUGAAGGCAGGACAUCUCUUUCCUGUUAACUCUGUACUGGUUUCAGGGAUUUAUUGCUAGGUACUAAAUCAAGUCUUGGUGUUGCCAAUAUUACAUUUACAUACUGCAAAAUCAUAUGGUCUGAAUGAAGCUCCCAGGAAAGCAUAUCAGCAUUUAAAGCUUCAGAUUCCAAUUACAACCUGCUGCUAGGAAACCUGGCAAUAGAAGUUGGAAAAUACAGCACGGAAGGCGUUAUUAUAUACCGGGGUAUCAUCAGAAGAGUUGGUGAGUCUUUGGGAGGGGGCAGGGGAGAGCAGCACAAACGGGACAUUUUUCAUUUCACUUUCUAGGCAUGACCCAGUGAACUUCUCGUGACUGCAAAGAUUAUGCCUGUGCAUUGCAGAAAGCAGAUUUGCACUCUGAGCACAUUCAUGCCUGGACUGUGGGUGUCAUGGUAAAAUAAUAAUAAUAAAAAAGGCCAGAUUGUUAUGAUAAUACAAAAUUGAUUGGACGUGACCAAACUAGAAGGGCCAGCACCCUGAGGCACGUUUUACCAACUUGUCCAAAUUAGAUCGUAACAAGGUUCUUGUGAUAGGAUAACAACAAAGUAACUUGCAUAUUAAAAUAAAAUCUCAUUUUUCCUCUUUCUCUUUCUUUGUUUUUAAGCCUUUUAGAGCUCUUUGCACUGUAUUUCAGUCAUCUUUAGGAAUUCAAACAAUUUUUAGCCCAAAGGAACAACUUUUAAGAUAUCUACUUUUCAUAGCAAGAACACAUCCACUCUGAACAGAAAGGUAUUACCUGGAAUUUAUAAUGUGAUAUUGUCUCUCUGAGUCAUCAUAAUGUAUCCACAUCAG